ACUGAAACAUCUAAGUACCCCGAGGAAAAGAAAUCAACCGAGAUUCCCCCAGUAGCGGCGAGCGAACGGGGAGGAGCCCAGAGCCUGAAUCAGCAUGUGUGUUAGUGGAAGCGUCUGGAAAGGCGCGCGAUACAGGGUGACAGCCCCGUACACAAAAGCGCAUGUGCUGUGAGCUCGAUGAGUAGGGCGGGACACGUGGUAUCCUGUCUGAAUAUGGGGGGACCAUCCUCCAAGGCUAAAUACUCCUGACUGACCGAUAGUGAACCAGUACCGUGAGGGAAAGGCGAAAAGAACCCCGGCGAGGGGAGUGAAAAAGAACCUGAAACCGU
rnacentral:rRNA from 1 species